UGUCUCUGAGCCUCGUCUGGACCCUCUGCCCUUGCACGCUAGGAUGCCAGCCCCAGAUCUCAGCGCCUCCAGCUUCCCGGGAGCCCCAGGCUGGAAUCGUCUACGCUCAUCUGGAUUUCGAUUCAUGGAAUCGCGGCGGGCGCACGCUGCCACCAUCGGCCAGAGGGAAACGUGGAAAACCCUGAGCUGCCUGGUGCAAGA